rnacentral:rRNA from 1 species
AUGGAUACCGAGUUGUAUGCUGGUGGCUCCUCUACGGCCGGACCAGCGCAGCCGUUCGUCUCCUCCAUGCCUGCCCCAGCGCCGCCGUCUACCUCCACUAUGGCCGUCAAGGUCUGGCACUCUGGCUGCAAGAAGAAGAUUGCUGCUGUGCAAGAAGACCGAUGGGUUCAGUUUCAGAGUUUGAGUUCAGUACUUGAGCCUGCACUUUCAGUUGGAUCAGCAAGAACAGUGCAGAAACGAUGGAUGAAACUGAAGCUCCUGGUUUUGUUGCUGUUAAAUUUAGGAGCUAUGGUCAGUUGA